rnacentral:rRNA from 1 species
UACGUAGGGGCCUAGCGUUGUCCGGAUUUAUUGGGCGUAAAGAGCUCGUAGGCGGCUCAUUGCGUCAACCGUGAAAACCAGCAGCUCAACUGUUGGCUUGCGGUUGAUACGGGUGGGCUGGAGUUCGGUAGGGGAGACUGGAAUUCCUGGUGUAGCGGUGAAAUGCGCAGAUAGCAGGAGGAACACCGGUGGCGAAGGCGGGUCUCUGGGCCGAUACUGACGCUGAGGAGCGAAAGCGUGGGGAGCGAACAGG